GGGGAAUAUUGCACAAUGGGCGGAAGCCUGAUGCAGCGACGCCGCGUGAGGGAUGAAGGCCUUCGGGUUGUAAACCUCUUUCAGCAGGGACGAAGCGUGAGUGACGGUACCUGCAGAAGAAGCACCGGCUAACUACGUGCCAGCAGCCGCGGUAAUACGUAGGGUGCGAGCGUUGUCCGGAAUUACUGGGCGUAAAGAGUUCGUAGGCGGUUUGUCGCGUCGUUUGUGAAAACCCGGGGCUCAACUUCGGGCUUGCAGGCGAUACGGGCAGACUUGAGUGUUUCAGGGGAGACUGGAAUUCCUGGUGUAGCGGUGAAAUGCGCAGAUAUCAGGAGGAACACCGGUGGCGAAGGCGGGUCUCUGGGAAACAACUGACGCUGAGGAACGAAAGCGUGGGUAGCAAACAGGAUUAGAUACCCUGGUAGUCCACGCCGUAAACGGUGGGCGCUAGGUGUGGGUUCCUUCCACGGGAUCUGUGCCGUAGCUAACGCAUUAAGCGCCCCGCCUGGGGAGUACGGCCGCAAGGCUAAAACUCAAAGGAAUUGACGGGGGCCCGCACAAGCGGCGGAGCAUGUGGAUUAAUUCGAUGCAACGCGAAGAACCUUACCUGGGUUUGACAUACACCGGAAAACCGUAGAGAUACGGUCCCCCUUGUGGUCGGUGUACAGGUGGUGCAUGGCUGUCGUCAGCUCGUGUCGUGAGAUGUUGGGUUAAGUCCCGCAACGAGCGCAACCCUUGUCUUAUGUUGCCAGCGCGUUAUGGCGGGGACUCGUAAGAGACUGCCGGGGUCAACUCGGAGGAAGGUGGGGACGACGUCAAGUCAUCAUGCCCCUUAUGUCCAGGGCUUCACACAUGCUACAAUGGCCAGUACAGAGGGCUGCGAGACCGUGAGGUGGAGCGAAUCCCUUAAAGCUGGUCUCAGUUCGGAUCGGGGUCUGCAACUCGACCCCGUGAAGUCGGAGUCGCUAGUAAUCGCAGAUCAGCAACGCUGCGGUGAAUACGUUCCCGGGCCUUGUACACACCGCCCGUCACGUCAUGAAAGUCGGUAACACCCGAAGCCGGUGGCCUAACCCCUCGUGGGAGGGAGCCGUCGAAGGUGGGAUCGGCG
rnacentral:rRNA from 1 species